GGGCCUGGGAUUCCUGGGGCAAAGAGCAAGAAGAAAAUUGGAAAUGUUAGAAGCCCCAAACAUCCACAGACGAGAAACAUUAGGAAUGUGAAAGAAUGUGCUGAGAUGGACAUGGCAGGUUUGGAAGCAAUCUUGCAAGUUGAAAAGGUCCCGAGGCUUUAUGUCUCAUUGGGUUGGAGCUGGCUGGUGGCAAGGGAAGCUUCUGACAGGAAAAUGGAGCCAAGUGUGGCCCUUUUGCCAGCAGAAUUUCUGCUGAAGGCUCAAAAUGCUAAGGAGCAAGUCGAUUAAACCUGUUUGCCUCAGUUUCCUCAUCUGUGAAAUGAGCUGGAGAAGGAAAUAGGAAACCACUCCAGUGUCUCUGCCAAGAAAACCGCAAAUGGGGUCACAAAAAGUGAGACAUGACUGAAAUGGCUGGACAACAACAGAAAUGCUGUCUUCAGCUAAUGGUCCUAUGUACUCUUCCUUGUUGACCUUACUCAACAUUCAAGUUGUAAUUGCCCCAUUAAAGAUGGAGCUAGUAUGAAAAUAGCAAAUA